UUACGGAAGGCAGCAGUAGGGAAUCUUCCGCAAUGGACGAAAGUCUGACGGAGCAACGCCGCGUGAGUGAUGAAGGUUUUCGGAUCGUAAAACUCUGUUGUCAGGGAAGAACAAGUGCCGGAGUAACUGCCGGCGCCUUGACGGUACCUGACCAGAAAGCCACGGCUAACUACGUGCCAGCAGCCGCGGUAAUACGUAGGUGGCAAGCGUUGUCCGGAAUUAUUGGGCGUAAAGCGCGCGCAGGCGGUUUCUUAAGUCUGAUGUGAAAGCCCCCGGCUCAACCGGGGAGGGUCAUUGGAAACUGGGAAACUUGAGUGCAGAAGAGGAGAGUGGAAUUCCACGUGUAGCGGUGAAAUGCGUAGAGAUGUGGAGGAACACCAGUGGCGAAGGCGACUCUCUGGUCUGUAACUGACGCUGAGGCGCGAAAGCGUGGGGAGCGAACAGGAUUAGAUACCCCGGUAGG
rnacentral:rRNA from 1 species